GACGAACGCUGGCGGCGUGCUUAACACAUGCAAGUCGAGCGGAAAGGCCCUGCUUUUGUGGGGUGCUCGAGUGGCGAACGGGUGAGUAACACGUGAGUAACCUGCCCUUGACUUUGGGAUAACUUCAGGAAACUGGGGCUAAUACCGGAUAGGAGCUCCUGCUGCAUGGUGGGGGUUGGAAAGUUUCGGCGGUUGGGGAUGGACUCGCGGCUUAUCAGCUUGUUGGUGGGGUAGUGGCUUACCAAGGCUUUGACGGGUAGCCGGCCUGAGAGGGUGACCGGCCACAUUGGGACUGAGAUACGGCCCAGACUCCUACGGGAGGCAGCAGUGGGGAAUAUUGCACAAUGGGCGGAAGCCUGAUGCAGCAACGCCGCGUGCGGGAUGACGGCCUUCGGGUUGUAGACCGCUUUCGCCUGUGACGAAGCGUGAGUGACGGUAAUGGGUAAAGAAGCACCGGCUAACUACGUG
rnacentral:rRNA from 1 species